rnacentral:sRNA from 1 species
AUGGCCCCGUCGUGCCACUUCGGUUCAGAGCGUGCCGUCCUUACCCACCUGACGACUGCUCGCUUCCUUUUUUCCGUU